UCUGCAGUAAGGAAGGUUGCAUAUUUAAUAUAUGAAACAAAAAUGGAUUUAAGUGGCAUUUAGGGGGUUAUUUAUCAAAAUCCGAAAAGUUCUCACAAUUUUAGGAAAACAACUCUGACCAAAUCUGCACAGAUUUUUCCCCUUAUUUAUCAAUACAAUUUCCCGAAAAUUUCUUGUGCUGGAAAAAAUCAGAAUACCGUAAAUUUUUAGGAUUUGACGCCCAAGUACUGCGGUUUUUUUCGGAGACCUGCCACAAAUCAGGAUAUUUUUGAGACAUCUGCCAUUGACUUCUACAUGAACUCAGCUGGUCUGAGUUGGGGUACUUUUUUAUUCAGACUUUUAACACCAGGAAACCUCUGACUUUAAUAAAUAACCCCCUAAAUGUCACUGACCUAAACAAUGUUGUCCACAAUGUGGAAGUGGAAAGACAUCAAGUUCACAAGAUUAUUAAAUGAACAAGGAAGAUCCCUAUGCCCCCAAAGGAACAGCGCUGUUUACAGAGGAGAUUCUGAAGAGGACUCUAGGGGUUAAUUCCCCUACUGGCUCAGGAAGUCCUGGUAGCUGUAACCUAUGACUUGGGGAGGGAUGUGUUCCCAUUGACCCAAGGUUUCCAUUCCCUCGGCUGAGGAUCUGGGGUUAAUGCACCUGGACCAUACUGUGUUUUGCUACCAAAACAUAACAAUUGGCUACAAGGAUGGCUCCUCUACCUCUGCAGCAGACUGCACCUUUUCUGCCAAACCCUGCAGAGAAGGUAAUCCAAAGGAGUUAAUAUCAGACAAUG